rnacentral:lncRNA from 1 species
UUAUUUGCCACUCGCUCUUUGCAUGGGAUUAAGCCCUGUCCCCCAUACUUGUAUGAGGCUAAUCCCUGCCUCCCUAUUUUCAUGAGUCUAAUCCUUGACUCUAUACUUGCAUGAGGCUAAUCCCUGCCUCCCUCCUUGCAUGUGGCUAAUCCUUGCCUCCCCAUUUGCAUGAGUCUAGUCCUUGACUCUAUGAGGCUAAUCCCCGCUUCCAUGCUUGCAUGAGGCUAAUCCUCGCCUCCACAUUUGCAUGAGGCUAAUCCUUGCCUCCCCAUUUGCAUGAGUUUAAUCCUUGACUCCAUGAGGCUAAUCCUUGCCUCCCCAUUUACAUGAGGCUAAUCCUUGACUCCAUGAGGCUAAUCCUUGCCUCCCCAUUUGCAUGAGUCUGAUCCUUGACUCUAUGAGGCUAAUCCUUGACUCCCCAUUUGCAUGAGUCUAAUCCUUGACUCUAUCCCUGCCUCCAUACUUGCAUAAGGUUAAUCCUCAUCUCCACAUUUGCAUGAGGCUAAUCCUUGCCUCCCCGUUU